rnacentral:rRNA from 1 species
GACGAACGCUGGCGGCGUGCUUAACACAUGCAAGUCGAACGAAGAGGCGAACGGGUGAGUAACGCGUAAUCAACCUGCCCUUCAAACGGGGACAACAGUUGGAAACGACUGCUAAUACCGCAACCUGAAGGACGGGAUUGGGUUUGAUUUGCUAGUUGGAGGGGUACCGGCCCACCAAGGCGAUGAGCAGUAGCCGGUCGGGGGGGAUGAACGGCCACAUUGGGACUGAGACACGGCCCAGACUCCUACGGGAGGCAGCAGUGGGGAAUCUUCCGCAAUGGACGAAAGUCUGACGGAGCAACGCCGCGUGAGGGAUGACGGCCUUCGGGUUGUAAAGCUCUGUUAAUCGGGGCGCGGUACCGGAAUAGAAAGCCACGGCUAACUCCGUGCCAGCCGCCGCGGUAAUUC